AGAGUUUGAUCAUGGCUCAGAUUGAACGCUGGCGGCAGGCCUAACACAUGCAAGUCGAGCGGUAGCACAGAGAGCUUGCUCUCGGGUGACGAGCGGCGGACGGGUGAGUAAUGUCUGGGAAACUGCCUGAUGGAGGGGGAUAACUACUGGAAACGGUAGCUAAUACCGCAUAAUGUCGCAAGACCAAAGUGGGGGACCUUCGGGCCUCAUGCCAUCAGAUGUGCCCAGAUGGGAUUAGCUAGUAGGUGGGGUAACGGCUCACCUAGGCGACGAUCCCUAGCUGGUCUGAGAGGAUGACCAGCCACACUGGAACUGAGACACGGUCCAGACUCCUACGGGAGGCAGCAGUGGGGAAUAUUGCACAAUGGGCGCAAGCCUGAUGCAGCCAUGCCGCGUGUGUGAAGAAGGCCUUCGGGUUGUAAAGCACUUUCAGCGGGGAGGAAGGCGAUAAGGUUAAUAACCUUGGCGAUUGACGUUACCCGCAGAAGAAGCACCGGCUAACUCCGUGCCAGCAGCCGCGGUAAUACGGAGGGUGCAAGCGUUAAUCGGAAUUACUGGGCGUAAAGCGCACGCAGGCGGUCUGUCAAGUCGGAUGUGAAAUCCCCGGGCUUAACCUGGGAACUGCAUUCGAAACUGGCAGGCUAGAGUCUUGUAGAGGGGGGUAGAAUUCCAGGUGUAGCGGUGAAAUGCGUAGAGAUCUGGAGGAAUACCGGUGGCGAAGGCGGCCCCCUGGACAAAGACUGACGCUCAGGUGCGAAAGCGUGGGGAGCAAACAGGAUUAGAUACCCUGGUAGUCCACGCCGUAAACGAUGUCGAUUUGGAGGUUGUGCCCUUGAGGCGUGGCUUCCGGAGCUAACGCGUUAAAUCGACCGCCUGGGGAGUACGGCCGCAAGGUUAAAACUCAAAUGAAUUGACGGGGGCCCGCACAAGCGGUGGAGCAUGUGGUUUAAUUCGAUGCAACGCGAAGAACCUUACCUGGUCUUGACAUCCACAGAACUUUCCAGAGAUGGAUUGGUGCCUUCGGGAACUGUGAGACAGGUGCUGCAUGGCUGUCGUCAGCUCGUGUUGUGAAAUGUUGGGUUAAGUCCCGCAACGAGCGCAACCCUUAUCCUUUGUUGCCAGCGGUUAGGCCGGGAACUCAAAGGAGACUGCCAGUGAUAAACUGGAGGAAGGUGGGGAUGACGUCAAGUCAUCAUGGCCCUUACGACCAGGGCUACACACGUGCUACAAUGGCAUAUACAAAGAGAAGCGACCUCGCGAGAGCAAGCGGACCUCAUAAAGUAUGUCGUAGUCCGGAUUGGAGUCUGCAACUCGACUCCAUGAAGUCGGAAUCGCUAGUAAUCGUAGAUCAGAAUGCUACGGUGAAUACGUUCCCGGGCCUUGUACACACCGCCCGUCACACCAUGGGAGUGGGUUGCAAAAGAAGUAGGUAGCUUAACCUUCGGGAGGGCGCUUACCACUUUGUGAUUCAUGACUGGGGUGAAGUCGUAACAAGGUAACCGUAGGGGAACCUGCGGUUG
rnacentral:rRNA from 1 species